AGAGUUUGAUCAUGGCUCAGAACGAACGUUGGCGGCGUGGAUUAGGCAUGCAAGUCGAACGAAUCCCAACGCUGUAGCAAUACAGUGGUGGGGGAAGUGGCGAAAGGGGCAGUAAUGCGUGGGUAACCUACCUCGGGGACGUGGAUAGCCAUUCUAACGAGUGGGUAAUACGCGGCGAUUUGGUUGAAGGGCAUCCUUUGACCAGGAAAUGAAUUUCGCCUCGAGAGGGGCUCACGUGAUAUUAGCUAGUUGGUAGGGUAACGGCCUACCAAGGCCAAGAUGUCUAGCGGGUGUGAGAGCACGACCCGCGCCACUGGCACUGAGACACUGGCCAGACACCUACGGGUGGCUGCAGUCGAGGAUCUUUGGCAAUGAGCGCAAGCUUGACCAAGCGACGCCGCGUGUGCGAUGAAGGCCUUCGGGUUGUAAAGCACUGUCGAGGGGGACGAAGCCGAAAGGUUGACCGAUCCCUGGAGGAAGCACGGGCUAAGUUCGUGCCAGCAGCCGCGGUAAGACGAACCGUGCGAACGUUGUUCGGAAUCACUGGGCUUAAAGGGCGCGUAGGCGGCUUGCCAAGUCAGGGGUGAAAUCCAGCAGCUUAACUGUUGAAGUGCCUUUGAUACUGGUGAGCUCGAGGGAGGUAGGGGUAUGUGGAACUUCUGGUGGAGCGGUGAAAUGCGUUGAUAUCAGAAGGAACGCCGGUGGCGAAAGCGACGUACUGGACCUUUUCUGACGCUGAGGCGCGAAAGCUAGGGGAGCAAACGGAAUUAGAUACCCCAGUAGUCC
rnacentral:rRNA from 1 species